rnacentral:tRNA from 1 species
UGGGCGAUGGCGGAACGGUAGACGCAUCAGUCAAAAAAGCCUCGAGUGUUCCUUGCUCUAUGAGCCGUGAUUCGAGGGUGAUCGGGAACUGAUGUCGGCAACGACGUGCGGGUUCAAAUCCCGCUCGCCCAC